rnacentral:rRNA from 1 species
CCUACGGGAGGCAGCAGUAAGGAAUAUUGGUCAAUGGGCGCAAGCCUGAACCAGCCAUGCCGCGUGCAGGAAGACGGCCCUAUGGGUUGUAAACUGCUUUUGAACAAGAGAAAACCUCGGUACGUGUACCGAGCUGAUAGUAUUGUUAGAAUAAGCAUCGGCUAACUUCGUGCCAGCAGCCGCGGUAAGACGAAGGAUGCAAGCGUUAUCCGGAUUCAUUGGGUUUAAAGGGUGCGUAGGUGGCCUGAUAAGUCAGUGGUGAAAUCUCUCAGCUUAACCUGAGAAACCUGCCAUUGAUACUGUCGGGCUUGAGUACAGAUGAUGUGGGCGGAAUAUGGACAUGUAGUGGUGAAAUACCUUAGAUAUGUCAUAGAACACCGAUUUGNGAG